GUGGGGAUGACGGAUCCCAGUUUUUGUCCCCGGCGCCCUGGGCUCCCCGGCCUGUGCUGUUGGAUUCGUGCUCCGGCCAUGCAGCCCCCU
rnacentral:pre_miRNA from 1 species